AGGUCCGUAGCUCAAUUGGUAGAGCACCGGUCUCCAAAACCGGGGGUUGCAGGUUCGAUUCCUGCCGGGCCUGC
rnacentral:tRNA from 1 species